rnacentral:rRNA from 1 species
GAUGAACGCUGACAGAAUGCUUAACACAUGCAAGUCUACUUGAUUCUACUUCGGUAGUUGAUGGUGGCGGACGGGUGAGUAACGCGUAAAGAAUCUGCCCUUUAGCUUGGGAUAACCUUUGGAAACGAAGGCUAAUACCGGAUAUUAUGGAGACGUCGCAUGGCGACUCCAUGAAAGCUAUAUGCGCUAGAGGAGGACUUUGCGUCCCAUUAGUUAGUUGGUGAGGGAAUGGCUCACCAAGACCGGGAUGGGUAGCCGGCCUGAGAGGGUGAUCGGCCACAAGGGAACUGAGACACGGUCCUUACUCCUACGGGAGGCAGCAGUGGGGAAUAUUGGACAAUGGGCCACAAGCCUGAUCCAGCAAUUCUGUGUGCACGAUGAAGGUCUUCGGAUUGUAAAGUGCUUUCAGUAGGGAAGAAAAAAAUGACGGUACCUACAGAAGAAGCGACGGCUAAAUAUGUGCCAGCAGCCGCAGUAAUAC